GACGAACGCUGGCGGCGUGCUUAACACAUGCAAGUCGAACGGAAAGGCCCUGCUUUUGUGGGGUGCUCGAGUGGCGAACGGGUGAGUAACACGUGAGUAACCUGCCCUUGACUUUGGGAUAACUUCAGGAAACUGGGGCUAAUACCGGAUAGGAGCUCCUGCUGCAUGGUGGGGGAUGGAAAGUUGCGGCGGUUGGGGAUGGACUCGCGGCUUAUCCGCUUGUUGGUGGGGUAGUGUCUUAACAAGGCUUGGACGGUAGCCGGCCUUAGAGGGCGACCGGGCACAUUGGGACUGAGAUACGGACCAGACUCCUACGGGAGGCAGCAGUGGGGAAUAUUGCACAAUGGGCGGAAGCCAGAUGCAGCAACGCCGCGUGCGGGAUGACGUCCUUCGGGUUGUAAACCGCUUUCGCCGGUGACGAAGCGUGAGUGACGGUAAUGGGUAAAGAAGCACCGGCUAACUACGUG
rnacentral:rRNA from 1 species